UGGUAAUGCCGGAUGCUCCAUCACACCGCAUGGUGUGUUGGGAAAGCCUUUGCGGCAUGGGAUGGGGUCGCGUCCUAUCAGCUUGAUGGCGGGGUAACGGCCCACCAUGGCUUCGACGGGUAGCCGGCCUGAGAGGGCGACCGGCCACAUUGGGACUGAGAUACGGCCCAGACUCCUACGGGAGGCAGCAGUGGGGAAUAUUGCACAAUGGGCGCAAGCCUGAUGCAGCGACGCCGCGUGAGGGAUGGAGGCCUUCGGGUUGUAAACCUCUUUUGUUAGGGAGCAAGGCACUUUGUGUUGAGUGUACCUUUCGAAUAAGCACCGGCUAACUACGUGCCAGCAGCCGCGGUAAUACGUAGGGUGCAAGCGUUAUCCGGAAUUAUUGGGCGUAAAGGGCUCGUAGGCGGUUCGUCGCGUCCGGUGUGAAAGUCCAUCGCUUAACGGUGGAUCCGCGCCGGGUACGGGCGGGCUUGAGUGCGGUAGGGGAGACUGGAAUUCCCGGUGUAACGGUGGAAUGUGUAGAUAUCGG
rnacentral:rRNA from 1 species